UCGAACGGAGAUUAUACGCAGAGGCGAUUUCGGUCAAAUCAUGUAAAAUCUUAUUGGCGGACGGGUGAGUAACGCGUGGGUAACCUGCCUUACACUGGGGGAUAACACUUAGAAAUAGGUGCUAAUACCGCAUAAGCGCACGAAGCCGCAUGGAUUUGUGUGAAAAACUCCGGUGGUGUAAGAUGGACCCGCGUCUGAUUAGCUUGUUGGCGGGGUAACGGCCCACCAAGGCGACGAUCAGUAGCCGGCCUGAGAGGGUGGACGGCCACAUUGGGACUGAGACACGGCCCAAACUCCUACGGGAGGCAGCAGUGGGGGAUAUUGGACAAUGGGGGGAACCCUGAUCCAGCGACGCCGCGUGAGUGAAGAAGUAUUUCGGUAUGUAAAGCUCUGUCAGCAGGGAAGAAAGAAAUGACGGUACCUGACCAAGAAGCCCCGGCUAACUACGUGCCAGCAGCCGCGGUAAUACGUAGGGGGCAAGCGUUAUCCGGAAUUACUGGGUGUAAAGGGAGCGUAGACGGUUAAGUAAGUCUGGAGUGAAAGGCCGGGGCCCAACCCCGGGACUGCUCUGGAAACUAUUCAACUUGAGUGCAGGAGAGGUAAGCGGAAUUCCUAGUGUAGCGGUGAAAUGCGUAGAUAUUAGGAGGAACACCAGUGGCGAAGGCGGCUUACUGGACUGUAACUGACGUUGAGGCUCGAAAGCGUGGGGAGCA
rnacentral:rRNA from 1 species